GUCUUGGCUACACUACACGACUUUUAAAGUCUUAACAGAUCAUAAAAAGACUGAGCAUCUCACACUAUAUGACUGGUUUUUGGGCGACUGAAUUAUUGGGGAUUACACACUACACAACUGAACCGAACGGAACUCGCGCGAACUCACGCUAACUCACGCUAACUCUCGCGUUCUCCCGUUACUAGGAGACCUAAAUAAACAAACAUGGAGCUGCUCGCUGCUGCUGCUGUUUUCUCUGCUGUUUGCACUGACACAGUAAAGAAGCAACAGGUGCCCACUGCUUGCCAGCCUUCUGGACCUGUUUGACCGCCAAGGAGCUUCUCACUGUAUAACCCUAUGCAAACCUCACCUGGAUGAACUGACCUUUCUGAUGAUACUGCUGCUGCCGCUGCUGCACAAACUCAAACUAUGCAGUUUUUCCUUGCCACUGUCGCCAUUGGCUUGCUCAUGGGGGCUUGGACCUGGAUUUUUCUGUUAAGCUGCUUUGUGACAACACCUGUUGUAAAAAGCGCUAUAUAAAUAAAGUUUGACUUUGACAUUGACUUAUUCCAGUGCUGAAGGACCAUAUGUCUGACAUGUUUUCCUAGCCACACCUGAUGUCUCUUGUUUGUCAGGAAAUCUAUGAUUCACUGGCAGAUGAGAUUCAGCACACAGUUAGGACAUUUUGAUCUGCAGGACCUUUGGCACAAUGGUGUUAAAAGCCUAGCUGAAUUCUACAAAAAGAACCCUAGCAUAUGUCUAACAUUGGACUGUUGAAAUGCUGUAUCAUGAGGUGCAGGUCCAAGUUGACCACAUCAUUGACAAACUUGUAGGGGAUCCAGAAAAAAGUUUGUAAUAGUCUUCAGCUGGGCUAGGUCCAGGUGUUGAAAGACUUUCAUGACUACUUCAUGACUACUAUGAGGUCAAGGCGACCAGCCUGUAGUCAUUAAGUACUGUAACAUGCAUCUUUUUGGGCACCUUUCUCAUCGUUGGCCUAUUGAUGAUCUGCUCAUUGAUGAUGCACAAUGCACAGUGUCCACAUUGAAAUUACAUUACACCUGUCACAGAUUCCUUCUUUUCUCCCUCUGAGUGUCUGUUUCUUCCCCUCUGUUGUAGCCAUGUGUCUUUUGUUUUCUUGUACCAUGUGCUUUUGUUGUUGCUCUGUGUCUCCUCCCUGGUCCUGCCCCCUUGUUAUCUGUUCCACCUGCUUGUAGCUCCGCCCCUCAUUAGUCCCAGGUGUGUCUCAUUUCCCCUCUGUGUAUUUAUACCCCUGUGUUUGUUCAGUCUUCGUCUUGCAUUGUGAAUGUAAUCUUGUCUCUUGUUUGCUUGUAGCGCUUGUAGUUUUGUUUUCGUUAUGGACUCUCAUUUCAAUAAAAACUUGCAUUUGCAUCCCGCCUCCAUGCCUCAAACGUUACAGAAUGCAAGACCACACAGGGAAGCAGCGAGUUUGCAGGACCUUAUCAAGGAAAAUGAGGUCAGACUUCAGGAGAGCUACCAUCUGCUCUGUCGGCUUCAGCUGUUGCUCCCUAGUAAGGAGAAAGCCUCAGCCAUGGACGUCGCAGCAGGCCCGCCAGCCUCAGCCAUGGACGUCGCAG